GACGAACGCUGGCGGCCUGCUUAACACAUGCAAGUCGAACAGACAGGCCCUGCUUUUGUGGGGUGCUCGAGUGGCGAACGGGUGAGUAACACCUGAGUAACCUGCCCUUGACUUUGGGAUAACUUCAGGAAACUGGGGCUAAUACCGGAUAAGAGCUCCUGCUGCAUGGAGGGGGUUGGAAAGUUUCGGCGGUUCGGGAUGGACUCGCGGCUUAUCAGCUUGUUGGUGGGGUAGUGGCUUACCAAGGCUGCUGACAGGUAGACGAGCCUGAGAGGGGGACCGGCCACAUUGAGACUGAGAUACGGCCAAGACUCCUGAGGGAGGUUGCACUGGGGAAUUUCGACUAAUGGGCGGAAAGCCUGAUGCAGAAACCCCGCGUUGGGGGAGACGGGCCUUCGGGUUGUAAACCGCUUUUCCCCUGUGAGAAAGCGUGAGUGACGGUUAUGGGUAAAGAAAGCACCGGCUAAUUACGUGCCAGCAGCCGCCGUGAUAACCUAUGGUGCGAGCGGUAGUCCGGAAUUAAUGGGCGUAAAGGGCUCGUAGGUGGUUGAUCGCGUCGGAAGUGUAAUCUUGGGGCUUAACCCUGAGCGUGCUUUCGAUACGGGUUGACUUGAGGAAGGUAGGGGAGAAUGGAAUUCCUGGUGGAGCGGUGGAAUGCGCAGAUAUCAGGAGGAACACCAGUGGCGAAGGCGGUUCUCUGGGCCUUUCCUGACGCUGAGGAGCGAAAGCGUGGGGAGCGAACAGGCUUAGAUACCCUGGUAGUCCACGCUGUAAACGGUGGGUACUAGGUGUGGGGUCCAUUCCACGGGUUCCGUGCCGUAGCUAACGCUUUAAGUACCCCGCCUGGGGAGUACGGCCGCAAGGCUAAAACUCAAAGGAAUUGACGGGGCCCCGCACAAGCGGCGGAGCAUGCGGAUUAAUUCGAUGCAACGCGUAGAACCUUACCUGGGUUUGACAUGGAUCGGGAGCGCUCAGAGAUGGGUGUGCCUCUUUUGGGGUCGGUUCACAGGUGGUGCAUGGCUGUCGUCAGCCCGUGUCGUGAGAUGUUGGGUUAAGUCCCGCAACGAGCGCAACCCUUGUUCACUGUUGCCAGCACGUUAUGGUGGGGACUCAGUGGAGACCGCCGGGGUCAACUCGGAGGAAGGUGGGGAUGACGUCAAGUCAUCAUGCCCCUUAUGUCCAGGGCUUCACGCAUGCUACAAUGGCUGGUACAGAGAGUGGCGAGCCUGUGAGGGUGAGCGAAUCUCGGAAAGCCGGUCUCAGUUCGGAUUGGGGUCUGCAACUCGACCUCAUGAAGUCGGAGUCGCUAGUAAUCGCAGAUCAGCAACGCUGCGGUGAAUACGUUCCCGGGGCU
rnacentral:rRNA from 1 species